rnacentral:rRNA from 1 species
UACGGGGGGUGCGAGCGUUGUCCGGAAUCACUGGGCGUAAAGGGCGCGUAGGUGGCGUGAUAAGGGUGUGGUGAAAGCCCGGGGCUCAACCCCGGGGUCUGCCAUGCCGACUGUCAGGCUAGAGUACUGUAGGGGCAGGCGGAAUUCCGGGGUGUAGCGGUGGAAUGCGUAGAGGAUCCGGAGGAAGACCGGUGGCGAAGGCGGCCUGCUGGGCAG